GAGAGAGAGAGAGAGAGAGAGACGAGGGGGGGCGGUGGUUUUGGGGUUUGGGAUUCUGGAUGCGGUCGAUGCUGCCUUACCCCGUGAAGACGCUGCGAAAGGAACCAAUCAAGCCCUCGUGUGAUGGAACCCUACCUUCCCUCAGAUUUGCAAUUUAUGCAUAUGCGAGAUUCUCUCUGAGAUACAAAGGUAUGAGAAUACAGGAUUUACUGUUAAUGGUGUAAAGUAUGAGCGCAGCUUGCUUAUUGUGGAGAAUAAACUAAUGAUAUGGCACCAAAAACAUUUUCUGAGAUAGCUACUGAAAGGUUGGUACAAGACUUGCUUAUAACUUGAUAAUGCACAUAUAUAAGUUGUCAUGUAAAAUCCUUGUGUUUUGAGUAAGAAAUUAUGGUGGACCCUUUCCCCCUCACUUGUUAAUAAUUAGCUGUAACUUGUUUUGUUUAGUUGUUCAAACGUAUGAACUUCUUUCAUGUGAAUCCACUAACACAAUCCUUCUCUGGCAUAAAGUUCAGUUUAUUGGUGUUCAAAAUUCCAAGGCAAGUUCCAGGUAUAUCUUAUACAGGCACUUCACUGUACAUGUAGUCUUGUAACAUACUGGCUGUCAUGAAUGCUACAUGCUACCAUAGUUACAAAAUUCACGUGAACCAUCUUAUCUCUUGUAUAUUUGUCUUGGUAUCUUUUUGUUUUUAUUGAAGGAGGUGGCUUAAUUUCCUACAUUGUUAUUCAUUUCACUUUUAGAGCCCGAGCUGGAUGAAUUGUGUUCUCUGCUUAUUAGAAAAAUCUGGAUGUUACGUAUGUAAUAUAUGGCUUUUCUCAUUAGAUGAGAUUUUAUGCUACAAGAAUCCAUGAAUCUAUAUCUUCCUUGAUGUGAACAAACAGGUCAAGGUAAAAUAUUUUUAAAGUCUUGCUACAUCCUCUGGAGAUUUUUGAAAUUUUUUUCUUGUUUUCUUGUUUUUCCUAGGAUUCUUGUUGGACUGAGGGUUGAGGAUUGUUUUCAUGAGUAGAUGUCCUGUGGCCUACUUUGCUACAUUUGAAGCAAACUACAUGGAGUUUCUCAAAUGCUAUAGAUUUAAAAAAUUGAGUGUUCUUCACAUGUAUCCAGAUCCCCCGAGAGACUGGCAGGGUUAAAUAUAGGAGGACACAUAUCUGGGCAAACUUGCCUCUCACUCUAGUAAGGAUUACUUGAUUAAUUUUUAGACAUUUUCCUAUCUAGGACGCUAUCUGAGUGAGAAAAUUUGGGCACAUCAGCUCUAAUGGGAGGCCUGGUAGUUGCAACCCAAGUAGGUAUCGUGUCUAUCCUCUCCAAGAGAGGUUAUAAAUUUGGUCUCCAGGGGAUUAGAGUACGAGGCUGCCACCUAACGGACCAUGGACCACCAACUAGGACAUGGGGCAUUUCCUCAACCGAAUUAAAUUGAAAACAAAAGAAACCUCCGGCAACAUCAACUGCUUGGCAACCCGCCGACAGUCCCUAAAGUUUGGGGAGAAGAGUUUUUAGGAGCUCUAAUGGAGGGAUCUUACCCAGAAACUUGUCAUAUAGGCUUGUUUGCCAAUUUUCAUAUGCAAAGGCAUCUUCCUUUGGAUCGAGCUCUACGUUGAGUCUCAUUCUUCUCUGGAUUCAGUGGAGCUUAUCCUCCAUUGUUGGAUCUAGCUGUCAUUCUCCUACACAGUUGAGGAUUUUGGUGGACUAUGACUCCCUAACCUCCCCCCUGUGGGGAGGUGGUAUCCUGCUUCUCUUGAUCCUGCUCAGGGGGAAGCCGAGGCGGUAGGGAAUCAGGUGGUUCUGAUGGAAUCGGAAGUGGGGCUUCCAAGAGAGUGUUGCAAGAAGGAACAAUCGUCAAAGCUUCUUACUCUAGAAACUUAGAGAGAGAAGGAGUAUACCCAGAAUGGUUGAGGACAGGAUGAGUUAAUUAAAUUAGAGUAUUUUAUGCAGGGUUCAAUGAGCGAAAGUUUGGAUGUUAUCAUUUGUUGUUUGUUAUCAUUUUGCUGCACAACUUAAUCCAUGUACUAAUUGAAGAGCACUAUUGCCAAUAGGAUUUUACUUGUUAUAGAUGUUGUAGAAUAACCAAAUAACUAUCAAGGAAAAAAAAAAAUGAUGUCUUUCAGAUGUAAUAGUACAUUGUUAUAGCUGUAGCAGGAGUCAUUAGAUAAUAUUUCGUUAAGGCUAUUCAGUAAUUUUCCUUUUUUGAUCAAUAUGUUAAUAUAGGUGCAGUUGUUUGCUAUCUACCUGCUCAUGAAGUAACAAGUCAGGGACAUUCGUUAAUAAUUUCAUAUGUUAAUUUCUGCAUCCGAGUGACAUGAACUGGCAUCUAUUAUCAUGGUUAUGCCACUAAUGGAUGAUAGUGGUUGUGCAGGUCAAUCUUUUCUGUACUGAGAUUCUCUCCUAGCUUGAUGAUGAGCCUUCUUUGCCUUUGCAAAUGAAGACAGUCGUGUUGCGAUUGGCGAACGAAGCAUACGAUCUCCAGUCACUCGGAAGUUGGUUUCAUUCUCGAGUGUUUGAAGAUGAUCUGGUCAAUCUUUUUUGUACUGAGUUUUUCUUCUAGUUUGAAGAUGAGCCUUCUUUGCCUUGGCAAAUGAGGACAGUCAUGUUGCAAUUGGCUAAGCAUACGUUCUCCAUUGACUGCCAAGCUGGUUUCAUUCUCGGGUGUUUACUUCAAUCAAAUGUUUCUCCUCUCGUUGUCAUCUUUAUACACGCUUGAACCCAUUUAAUUUUUGACU